rnacentral:rRNA from 1 species
ACGAGUUACGUUAAGUAGCAAGGUUAAGCACUUAAGGUGCGGGGCCGUAGCGAAAGCGAGUUUUAACUGAGCGUUCAGUUACUGGACGUAGACCCGAAACCGGGCGACCUACCCAUGAGCAGGAUGAAGCGAAAGUAAAAUGUCGUGGAGGUCCGAACCCACGAGCGUUGAAAAGCUCGGGGAUGACUUGUGGGUAGCGGUGAAAUUCCAAUCGAGCCCGGAGAUAGCUGGUUCUCCCCGAAAUAGCUUUAGGGCUAGCCUCAAGGUGAGAGAUACGGAGGUAGAGCACUG